rnacentral:rRNA from 1 species
UACGGGGGGUGCAAGCGUUAAUCGGAAUUACUGGGCGUAAAGCGCACGCAGGCGGUUGAUUAAGUUAGAUGUGAAAUCCCCGGGCUUAACCUGGGAAUGGCAUCUAAAACUGGUCAGCUAGAGUCUCGUAGAGGGGGGUAGAAUUCCAGGUGUAGCGGUGAAAUGCGUAGAGAUCUGGAGGAAUACCGGUGGCGAAGGCGGCCCCCUGGACGAAGACUGACGCUCAGGUGCGAAAGCGUGGGGAGCAAACAGG